UGUAUUUUGCAUGUUUUGAGCAUCCAUUUGUCAUCAUUUUAGCAUCAUAUCAUCACUGUUUUAUACCAUUUCACAUCAUUUGUCAUCACUUUGCAUGUUUAGGAUAGUUUUGCAUGCAUGUUGCAUAUUUGUGUUGUUUUCAGGUGAUUUGGAGCUGUCGACGAUCUAACUGGAAGAAGCGGACCUGAUCAUGACAAACCACUCGACCAAGAGGUCGAGUAGGAGCUUCAAGAUCUCAAGAGACCACUCGACCCCCAGGUCGAGUAGAAGACACCACCACUCUAUCACAUCACUCGACCCCCAGGUCGAGUGUCUUCAUCUCCAUCUCUUGACCACCACUCGAUCACAUCACUCGACCCCCAGAUGUAGUGACUUCAUCCCAUUGCUAGACCUCUACUCGACCUCAUCACUCUACAUGGAAGUCGAGUAUCACCAUCACACCACUCGAUUGCAUACUCGAUGACAAGCUUCAGAGCCUUCUUCAUUCCGCACUCAACCAGACACUCGAGCACAAGAAAGAAAAGAAGACUCCAGCUAUUCACUCGACCUCCCACUCGACCACAUGGGUCGAGUACAGUUCUUAAUCCGUCCCAAUACUUUGUCGUUUUGAGUAUUAGGGUUUCGGAAUAUUUGGCUAUAAGUAGCAUGUACUUCUCAUUUUCGCAGACAAGAAAUUUUUAUCUAGUUUUAUUCUGCAGACCUUGUGUUCUAGACUUUUUGUAAUCCGGAUUUCUCUUUAUCUAUUCAGUGUUCAGUAUUCAGCUUUUGUUCUUGAUUUCGUUUACUGUUGUUCAUUCUGUUAUCAUCCUACUGUUACACUGUUGUUGUCAUGUCUUCAACCUGUUCAACGUUUCUGCUUUCUAUUAUGAUGUCUGAGUAGUGAAUAGGUUUCUGAGGAUGGGUUAGAGUAGUGUAGAAUUCUCAGUAUGCUAGGUGAUUGAGUAUUGGUUGAUAGAUCCCUUCUGGAUUAGUUGUUCUUAAUGCCUAUUGCUUUCUGAUCAACUAGAAUUUGAGCCCAGACAUUUCCGCGCCCAAAAGGUGUUCGAUGAAAUGUCUGAACCACUAAUUCAAGAGAUUCGUGACCCAGUACCAAGGUAUUGGUUGCAGGGAGCGUUUUGGCUUUAACUUGUUGAUUCGUAAUGCCUGUUAGGUUAGCUCUCGUCAAUGGUGAUUGAAUCUGGAACUAGGUUAACUUGAGGGUCUCUGUUGCGGUGGCACUUAGAUUUGGUUAAUGAACUUGUUGUCUAGGGUUAAUUUACUGAGCAUGUCAAUCACCUGUAAACUGAGAAAACGAAACUACUCAAUUUCCCCAUCCUCGGGAAUUCUUUAUCUGAUUGAAUUCUUUGUUUACUAUAUUGUUGUUUACUGCAUCUUGUUAUCUGUUGCUUAAUUUCUGCAGUUCUUUCUUGUUACUCGACCUCAUACUCGACCACCUAGUUGUAUGGCAACAGACUGUGCAGUCGAGUAUCUGUGUUUCAUUUUUUGUCUGUUACUCGACCUCACCCAGUGCUCUGCAAAGAGCUGUGUUGGUCGAGUGUUUUUUACUGUUUCUGUUUCAUUUUCUGUUUUCUGCAUAUUCACUUAGGACUGCUAGAACACACCAAAACCUGUUAUUGCUUGGCUUGACUUAGUGACUUCUGAUCACAUCUUGAUUGUUAGCAUCACACCCAUUUGGAUUGACAACCUUCAGUACUACAACGAUAUGAUUGGUGUUUUAGGAUAAUUGACUAAAAA
rnacentral:sRNA from 1 species